UACGUAGGGUGCCAAGCGUUGUCCGGAAUUAUUGGGUGUACGGUAAAGAGCUCGUAGGCGGUUUGUCGCGUCAUGCUGUGAAAACCCGAGGCUCAACCUCGGGCCUGCAGUGGGUACGGGCAGACUAGAGUGGCGGUAGGGGAGAUUGGAAUUCCUGGUGUGACGGUGGAAUGCGCAGAUAUCAGGAGGAACACCAAGUGGCGAAGGCAGAUCUCUGGGCCGUAACUGACGCUGAGGAGCGAAAGCAUGGGGAGCGAACAGG
rnacentral:rRNA from 1 species